UACGGAGGGUGCAAGCGUUAAUCGGAAUUACUGGGCGUAAAGGGUGCGUAGGUGGUUUGAUAAGUUAACUGUGAAAGCCCUGGGCUCAACCUGGGAAGGCCAGUUAAGACUGUUGAACUAGAGUAUGGGAGAGGAUAGUGGAAUUUCCGGUGUGGCGGUGAAAUGCGUAGAGAUCGGAAGGAACACCAGUGGCGAAGGCGGCUAUCUGACCUAAUACUGACACUGAAGCACGAAAGCGUGGGGAGCAAACAGG
rnacentral:rRNA from 1 species